GUCCAGCUGACGAGUCUCAAAUAGGACGAAACGCGCGUCAUGGUU
rfam:Schistosoma mansoni strain Puerto Rico chromosome 4, complete genome